GCCCUUCCAGCCAGAGCUGGGAACGUCACCCAAACACCGUCUCCUCUCGCGCUCCAGGGUCAGGGUUUUGGGGCCGACCCAGAGGAAAGAAAGCCCCUACCCCACCCCCAGUCCACCUGGGUCCCGAAGCCAGUGUUCUGAACCUGCCGGGGUGCUGAGUGCUUGGGGAAGUGGAGAGAGUCGGUGCCUGCCCCUCCCCGCUGAAUGUCUGCUUUGUUCCGGAAAACAAGGGGAGCAUUAGGCUCCUAGAGAAACACAAAACUUUUUGAAUCUCGGGAAGCGUAGCUGAUUGCGUUACGAAGCUCCAAAGACAUACAGAGGAAGGGCAAAGCUGAAAGGGCGGGGAGAGGCAGGGAGACUUCCGAGAGAGGCCCACGGACAAAGUAUGUGUGGGGGGAGCCGCUCGGGGUGACCGGGCCAAGACUCGGGAACUCGAUUCGGGGAGAAGGUGCCGCGAAAGUUCCAGCGAGGAGUCGGCCCAGCCAAGUGGCGCCUGCCCAGCCAGCGGCCGUGCCAGCUUCCUGCCCUGCCCAGGACCGCGGAGCAGUCGGGGACGCCGCAGCAGGCUGGCCCGGAAUCGCAGGACGACAGCAUGGGGGAGGAGGGCCGAAGCAGCAAGUAAACCCCAACUACAGCUUUCUGCCCACACCGCCCUCAUCCACUCCAGUGGGCCAGGGCUUGAGGGUCUGUGGGGCGUUGGCUCUGGACUUUCAUCCCGGGCUCGCUGGGUUUCUAACUUCCUCUAAAUCUCCCUCCACGCUCCGAAAAGCCCCGAGGAGAGGAGCCGAGAGGAAGCACGCCGCUAGUGUGCGAAAUGAAGACCAUGUGUGAGGAUGGCGACAUCAGAGUGCAGCCGCGGGGGAAGGGGGUGGCGAAGGCCCCCCGCACAGCCCGAGGCCCCAGGUCGCAGUAGCCAGCGCCCGGGCUAGGCGUUGGGGACUGGGAGACGCAGCGAGAGGCAGUGGAGAAACUGCUGGCCUCGUGGUGGGCUGCGAGGAGGGGGUGCGGGAGCUGUCGAGCCUGGCGGGGGGGGGGGUGGCGGGGACGCAGCCCCGGCUUCUUGAGCCGCAGCUGCGACCGAAGGCGCAAGAGCAGAUCGUGUUCGGCGGCAGUGGUGGUGGCGGUGGCGGUGGUGGCGGUGGCGGCGGCGGCAGCAGCGGCAGCUCUGGCCCCGCUGCGCUGGCAGCUGAGAAUCAACAAAGGGAGGCGGCGGGCGAACGGGGGAGGGGCGCCGCCGAGCGUUCGCGGACUGCUGUGGAAUAAUAAAAAAUAAUUAAUAAUGAUAAUAAGAGAAAAAUCCCCGGCUUUCAUGGCUCUGGGUUUCCGUGUGGCUGCAGCGGGAAGCGCGCUGUCCUUGAGGCGGCCUCUCUCGCCUGGCCUGCCCGCCCCUCCCCCUUCCCUCGCCCCCUCCCCUCCCCAGGAACCGGGAAGAGAAAGGUCUGCAGCUGACAAAUAUUAUCCAUUCUCCCCAUCGAUCGCGGAGUGUACAGAUGUGAGCGCUUGAUGUGCCCGCGGAGCGGCGGAUCCUCCCUACUCGCUCGCUCUCGCCCAGGCUCCACUCGCCGCCCCCUCCUCCCCCUUUGUUCUCCUCCCCUUUCCCUCUCUUUAAAUAGAUUUCAGGGCGCUGCCUGUUGGAGAGCAGCUGGCGAUCUCUCCGGAGAGAGGGAACAAGCGCAGCCCGAGGUGCCCUGUCAUCAGCCUCCCUCCCCCACAUCGCCUUCCCGUUACGAGGCCCCCCUCCAGUUUCCAAAACAGAAAACACAAGGAACACCCUAGUCCACUGCACCGCGAGUCUCUCCGAGUCUUUGGCUCAGUUACGCUGUCCCCGUGCUGUUCCUUGAAUCUGUGGCUGUCUGUGCAGGGAAGGGAGGGGUCACAGGGCCUUGGCAGAAGAGCCGAGGGUGGGGAUCCUUCCCCGGCAGCAGCAGGAGCGCAGCCCGGGUCACGCUAAAAGGGUACAGCUUACGCAUUAGGUAAAGUCGGCGGAGGCGGCCGUUUUAUUCCUCUUUUUGCAGAUGGGAGAUUAAGCGGGCAGUGCCAGGUCUCAAAGGGGCCGGCUGCGCGGCAAAGGGUUAACUCCCCGGCCGGUAGUCGCGGACACAUACACACGCUCACACGCUCGCUAGUGCGCCCUCCUCGCUUGCCCGAGCGCCCGCCACGGCCCGCAGUGCACCCGGGGCUGAAGCGGAGAGGAGUGGGGGAGGGGCGGGCUUAACCAGGCCGCUCGACUGAGCUGGGGCCACCUCGCCGUCUGUCACUUAAAUGAUUGUCCUCCGCUCCGUUCAGUGCGGUCAGUACGGGCUGUUAACAGGCAGUUGCAAUCAGUUUCCGAAAGGUCAGCCAAGGUCCUCCGGCUCUCGCAGACGGAAGGCAUUACGAAACCGCUUUUGUAUCUGCAGGCACUUUAGUAAAAGAAGCGAGGAGGGGCGCACCGCAGCGCUGCUGCUGCUGCGAGCCAGGGGAAAGGGUCGCAGACCUCGGCGGUAGGGUCUGCACCCCCGCUGCCAGGGCUGAGCGAUGGGGAAAUCACUGGUGGAGUGACCAUGACCCUUCAGGUUUCGAUGGGGAAGCAGGCUGCAAAAGCAAGAGAAAAGAGAGGAAGUGGGAGAGGCGUCCUGAUUCCCCUCCUCGCCUGGCCUGCGGCCCACACCAGGACCCGCACCGGAGCGCGGCCUUGGGCGCAUGGAAGACGCUCCACUCCUCCCAGACCCUCCAAACUCCGGGAAGCGGGAUGGAGGAUGGUUGUGGGGGGCAGUGUGAGACCCUGCGCAAGUGAGUUCCUGCGCGGUGUCUGAAGACGGUGCUGCCGCCGCCGCUAGAAGUCGUCCAUCAGCAACCAGUCCAACCUGCCAGUGAUAAUGUGCGAUCAACACCAAAUCACCCCCGCCAGGCGCGAUCCAUCAUCGCAGCGCGCCGCGGGCUCGCGUGAAGCUGACUUGCGACUGGAGGUGGGGGGUGCAGAGCAGGAGGCGGCCGCCCAGCACUAGGGACGCUCAGCGCACUUCGUUGCCCCUCCCAGAGGCCUGUACCCGGCGUUCAGAACUCUCCAAGUUCCCCAGCUGCAGAGCGCAAACCCGGUGGCUCUGAGUUCGGAGCGGAGGUCACUUAGAAGCCCGCGCGUCCUCCGCCCCCAGUUACCCUGGUCACGCCCUGCAAAGCUAUCUGUUCCUUGGCAGCUGCCCUGCCUGUCCCCUCCCCCUCCUCUGAGAAAGUGUAGCUGGCGGGAAAUUAAUAUUUAAUAUCGUGAAAUUGAUUAAAGGGCUGGAAGCUGGCGAUGGGGUGGGGGGAAGGGUAGGGGUUCCAAGCGUAAUUAAAGAUCUGAGAGUCGUGGCCGCUUCUGGUCUGUCCCAGCGGCACACGGCCUUUGUGAAGCCCAAGCAGGGUCAGGUGGGCUGACCCUUACGGCCUCGGGAUGGGGGGCCAGCGCAGCCAAGGUUCUGACCUGCAGGGCGUUUGGGAGGUGGCAGAUCAGCGGAGAAUGGCUAACCGGAGAA